ACUCUUUGACACCAGCUGGGCUUCCCCAAAGAUAGCCUUAGCCGUCUCCCCUCUUAGUUCUCUUCCUCCUUCAAUUUUAUUUCUCUCCACCCCCACUGCCACUGCCAAACCAAGCCAUCAUCCCUUCUCACCUGGACUACUGUCACCACUCCCUGCCCGUCUCCUCCCUAGGUCCACACUCUCAGAAACCACAGCAUUCCCUGCUUAAAGUCUAGCAAGUAUUCCCACUGUACCUCAGAUGAGACUCCCGAAACCUCACCAGGCCCCUACCUCCUCUCCAGCCUCACCUCCAUCUACUUGCCCUGCCGACCACAGCGGCAUUCAGAGUCCUCUUAGAACAAGCCAAGUUCUUUCCCCUCUCAGUGUUUUUACAUACACAGUACCUCCUCCCAACCCUAUUUUGUUUAUCCUAUUUUAUUUUUAUCCUAUUUUAUUUUCAUACUUAUCAUUGUCUGAAAUGAUCUCAUUUAUGGUUUGGUUUUGUCUCCUGCCCGGAGACUUAAACACAGUUCCUACGCACGGUAGAACAGUAUUUCUCAACAGGCAGUGGGGAAGAUGUUCCCAAGGGACACUUAGCCAUGUCUAGAGGUGUUUCGGGUUGUCAUAACUAAGGGACUGCUGCGGGUGGGUAGAGGCCAGGGAUGCUGCUAAACUCACUCAACAAUGCACAGGGUGGCCCGCCACAAGAAGGAGUUCUCUGACCCCGAAUGUCAAUAUUGCCGAGGUUGAGAUACCCUGCAGUGAUGCUUAUGGCGGAGGAUACUCGGUGUGCCCCAAUACCAAUCUUUAAUGCACCUGUGGUGAGAGAUACCCCGAUGUUUUUACACACAGCUGCCAAGCAUAAGGACAGUAUUUUCCAGUCUCCUUGUAGGUAGAAACAGGAAGGAAUGUCACGUGGUGGCAGUUUCUUUUUUUUCCUUCUUCCAUCCUGCUGCCUGAUACACAGGCGCUGCCAUCUGAGAUCCUGAGAUUGAGGCCGUGCAAGCUAAAGCAACAAGACAGAAGGAUGCUGUGUGCCUGCCACCACAGAGCACCCACCUCUCCUGAAUCGCUUCUCACCAGAUAGUUCAGUAAAUAAAUGACAACAGAUAUGUUUAAUGCAUUGUCUCUCUUAACAGCCUAGACAUGGGUAAAGAACCAAAAACACAUUUGGCCUUCUAGCACAAAACCAUCAACCUUUUUUCCUUUCUCUUUCCUACUCAAAGGGUUUCGACUUCCCUGCCAUUUUCAUUAGGAUCAUGAUUUUAAAUUACAUCCUCUACUUUCUCUGCAGUCCAGCUUAUUAUAUUUAACUUAACCAUUAUUAGUCCAUUGACAGCGUGCAGUGUGCCCCCCACAAUGUCUGUGCAUUUCACACGGGAAGAAUUUACAAGGAAAGAUCUCUGCUCUCUCCUCUGUCUUUACUGUGACUUUUGCCACAAGGAGAACAAACACAGGCGCAUUCAGUUACACUUUGUAUAACCACACAGAACAUAAGAGCUUGAGGUCUAAUUGUGACAAAAUUAGAAAAGACUUAAGUUCCUACAGGGUUUUGUUCUUGGUGAUCACCCGUUUUCCUAAAUUUGGGCAAAGGACGUAUUUGAAGUUUUGGCUUUGCCCCGUAAGCCAGAUGCCUUCCUGGUCAGCCAAGUUUCUCCAGACUGUAUUUAUCACUCCUUCAGAGAUCUUUGUUCUCCCUGAAGCAACACCGUGGUAAAGAAUUUCAUUCUCAUUCUUCCAAGGGCUGCCAAUUUCCUGGAGCCCAAAUGACUUCCUGGCACAUCUCAGCCAAGGGCUUCCUGAAAUAACCCUCCACAGGGGGUUACUUCUGAAAAGUCUUCUUUAAGUUUGUUUGGUUUUUUCCUCUUAAAACAAAAUUGACACACAACUAAUGUAGAAAACAUAAAAAUCACAGAAAAAGAAUACAGUUAGCAGUUUGGUUAAUGCUCUUACACAUACAAAUACUUAUUAUACACAUAGGAAUAUUUACAAAAGUGAGAUCAUGCCAUACAUGCUAUUCUGUGACCUGCUUUUAUUCCCCGACAUCAAUAAAGAUUUUUCUAGAACAGGACCUCCAACAGGUCAUGGAAACAUCACCCAUCACCCGAGGGGUCAGGGUUUUUUCAAGCUACAUAUAGUCGUACCCAUAUGCCCCAUUCACCACUAACUACACCAUUGAGAAUUACCACCCCCCCCCCCGCAGGCAGCAGGACUGUGCCAUAACCGUCCAGUAUGUGAGGACAGGAAAAGGGGAUGAGAGCCACUGUCCUGUGACACACAAUAUGUGAUUUAGCCCCUGUUGGACAUUUAAUGAGAACCUUUAUUGGCAGAAAAUGCUCUACAAGCAGUAGAGCAUCGUGGUUAUAUGCACAGACCACCUGGAAUCAAAUCCCACUUUGAGUCCUAGUUUCUUCAUUUUUAAAGUGACAGUAAGACUACCUCAGGGACUUGCUGAGAGGAUUAAAUGAGGUAAAACACUUUGUCUGGCAGAAAGCGACUCUGAACGUUAUACAAAAACUGGUACCCAAUGGUAAAUUGCCUUCAAGAAAGAGAAAGGAAGAGAAAAAAAUAUAAUCUGAAAGGAGAAUUUAUAUGUUUUAAAAAUGGACCCCCUAGUUCUACAUAAUGAAAAUGUACAAUGAGGCAGUUUUGGAUGACUUUUUCUGACAACUCUAGGCUGUCAUUCCCCUGACACCUCUCCUCCAGCCCCAGGCAAAGCCCAGCAUCUAAUUUGCAUAGGAAUGCAAUAAAUGUUUGUUUAUUUGGAUUGAAUUCAGUUCUAAUGCAUCAGAUUCUCUUCAGAUGAUUCUUCCCAUUCCUCGUCUUUAGGGUAUGUCCUGUUGUUUUAAGAUUAUGACAGAAUCAACUACCAUUUUGACCAACUUUCUUAAGAUAUUAAUUAGUCCCUUUUCCAGGCCAGUAACAUAUUUCUCUUCAAAUCCCAUUGGCAGAUUUGAUGUUGUGGAAGGGCCUGUGUCUGGGGUGUUUCAUUAGCCACUUGAACCUUUACUGCAACUCUUAUUUUUCCUUUCCCUAUGAUUAAAAAUACAUACACACUUGUGUAUGUGUGGCUGUGUAUGUGUGUGAUGUUUCUAACUCUUUGAAAAAUAAAAGAGGCAAGGGCAGGGGCAGAUCUACAGUUUGCAGUGGAGGGGGCUUACUAGAUAAAAUUUGUAGAGAUCUCUGUAAGAAAAAUAAUAUAAAAUUACCAAAGCAAAAUUAGGUUUGAACAUGAGAAUUUCUUCAGAAUAAGAACAGAAAUGACAACAAAUUGCUAGAGACUUGGAGACCCAGAUCCCUUUCUUCUAAGGGACUCCUUAACGCCAUAUAAAUCUGCCUCUAGGGAAGAAAUGGGAGGGCAAAGUUAAUGUAAUCAACAUGCUGAAAACUUCUUCAAAAUCUAACGGAACAUGCAUCACAAUCACGUUUUUAUUUCAUGGUAAGUAUAUUAGUUUCCUAUUGCUGCUGUAACACAUUACCACAAAUGUGGCUCACAACAACACAAAUGUGUUCUCCUACAAUUCUGGAGGUUAGAAGUCUGAAAUGAGUGUGAUGGGGCUAAAAUCCGAGUGUUGGCAGGGCUUGUUUCUUCCGGAGGCCCUAGAGGAGGGUCUGUUUCCCCACCUUUUCCAGCUCUGCAUUCCUCUGUCUGCAUUGUAUCCUCAGAGCCAGCAAUGGCCAGUGGAGUCUUUCUCUUCACACUCUGACAUUGGUCUGCUUCCCUCUUUCACAUUAAGGACCCUUGUGAUUACAUUGUGUCCACCCAGAGAAGCCAGGGUAAUCUCUUUAUCUUAAAGACGAUUGAUUUGCUACCAUUGCUUUUGAUAUUUAAUUCCACCUGCUAUCUUAAUUCCUCUUUGCCACGUGAGUUAACACACUUAACAGGAACUUCCCUGGUGGUCCAGUGGUAACAACUAAGAGUUCACAGCUAGGACCCGGUACAGCCAAACUAAGUAAAUAAAUAUUUUAAAAAACAAAAAGAAACAAAACACUUAACAGUUUCUGGGGAUUAGAAUAUGGUCACCUUUGGGGAGACCAUUGUUCCGUCUACCACAGUGAAGAAGCUACUUGAAUGCCAAGUACUUUUGAAAAUGCUUUUUGCAAUCGGAUUCCUAUAACAUUGGUUCUCCGUUUGGAGAAUUUGCGGGGUGGGGCGGUAAUAGAGGGAAUUUUAUUUUAUUUAAAUUGAAGUAUAGGUGAUUUACAAUGUUGUGUUACUUAGAGGCGGGUACAGCAAAGUGAUUCAAUUAUACAUACAUAUCUAUUUUUUUCCAGAUUCUUUUCCCUUAGAGGUCAUUACAAAAUACUGAAUAUAGUCCCUGGAGAAUUUUUAUUUUUAAAAGUCCAUCUGUGAGGGAAUCCAAAGCAUGACUGUAUGUUUCAGAACUGAAAGGGAGCAGGUAUUCCAAGCUGAGCAUGCCCAAAGCCUGCUGCCUGUGGUUUUUCCAAAUGAAGGCAGCUGCAAAACUCUGCCAACACUUAAAGAUAUCAGAUGUAGGAUUUUCACUCAAAGAAAACAAAAUUGCAAAAAGAUAGCUGAUUGAACACACCUUUUUACUCUCUCCUAAAUUGCACUAAAACUAAAGGGAGUUUUUAAAGGCAUAAACCUAUAAGGAUAAAGUGAGUAUGAGAAGAAACAGCACCAAAGUUCUAGAAGCUGCAAAGCAGGUGAACAAGCGGUACUGACUUGGUGGAACUGAGGAAGAAUGAAUUCUACUUCCUCCAGGAAGGGCAAGUCAAGAACAAAGUCCGUUUAAAGGACCAAAUAACUGAGGCUCCGGAAGUGGUGGCACCAGCUACUUCCGGCAAAGGAGUGCUGAAAUGAGGCGGCUUGGUUGAAAUGCUGUUUGAAAAGCAGAUCUCUAGAUGCCCCUGUCUUCCUGCAGUGCUCGGUGACCGCCCUCCCUCACCCUAGCAGCGACAGUUCAUCUCUCUGAAGAGCUGGUAAAGCAGGUCUUUUUCCGAAACAGAAAACAGAAUUUCAGAGGUGUAUGGGAGAAGAAAGCUUUCUCUCAGCCAAGAUGUGUGCAGUUCCUCCAGACCCGUGGCACGUCCUCUCAAUCUAGGGAAGUAUUGCCACUGCUUAGCAUUUGGGAUGAAGCCAACAGCGACGUUCAGCAAAUAUGGGUUUCAUCUACUCGAAAAUAAUUGCCUUUACAUCUUGUGACAUCUUCCAUGGACUCUGCAGUGAAAAUCAAUUAUAAUCCCUUUUGGUGGGAGAAACUAAAUUAGAAAGAAAAGUGAUCAGAAACAGAAGGCAGCUUGACGCUUGUGAUGCCAAGUUUGCUCAACGUGUGAUUCAAAAGCCGUGGUGACACAUCUAUCUCUUUGGAAAGAAGUCCUGGAAAUGACUAAAUUCUGGUAAAUAAGAACCACCCACCUCUAUGUGAAACAGGUGAAGCUUGAUUUCUAAAGUG